rnacentral:lncRNA from 1 species
GGAAGCCGGAGCUGCUGUUUAGAGUACAGUAAAUGGAGUAACUGUCAGGAUGGAUCAAUUAUUUUAUACAGAACUGAGUCGUCAGGGAGGAUUUUCCCCUUCACUUUGAUGGAGGGAGAAACAAAAAUCCUUGAUUCUUUGUGAUUUUUAAGGACAAAGAGAAAUCUUCCAAAUGAUGAGAGGGAGAAAAUAUGAAGACAAGUCUCAUUUCCAGGUCCCUUAGCACAUGCUCAGCGAGCACGUACUGUGUGCAGAAGCUUGAGGUGGCCAAGCAGGGAGCUGGGUCCCUGCGUGGACGGAGGAGUCACAGGGGGGACAGGUCACUGUCUCCUCCUAGCUUGUGCCGUGCUUAGAUGAUGAUUCAGUCUCACUGGCGACUUCAGCUUGAGGUGUGCCGUCCAGCAAGACUUCUCAGCAGUAGGCCACAAGCUGAAGAAAACCCAAAUCACACUGUGUCAGGACCAUUACUAACUACUUCUGCUUUCAAUGACUGUAUAUAUUAUUUCUUCUCACGGAGAUGGAAACUGCUAUUUCUCCCUCGGGCGGAUUAAAAAUGGGUGGUCAACUUACACCCCAGCUGGACUGAAUCAGCAUGGAGCUGAGUGUAGUUGGCCCAUUUGAGGACUGUUGCCAGUAUAAAGGGGAGACCUGGAGGGAAAGAGAGCAGCACGGUGGGUUCUCCUAAGUGUUGUUUGAGCUGCUGGUUCUCAGGGAGGAGCCUGUCAUGCUGGCUUCCCUGAUAUGAACUUGGCUGUUAUCAUCAGAAAAGCUCCAGGCCUUGUCACUGAGAAAGGCUGUGGGCCACUUUGGGGUACCCCUGUCCUCACUUCGAGCAUUGCUUCUUGGCUCCAGAGGGGAAGAUGUGUGCUGCUGAGUCUCCAGAAGCUUGUCAUGCUGACUUCCUGAUAUGAACUCGGCUGUUCUCCUUGGUGGAGCUAGGGACCUUGUUGUCACUUAGGAUGGCUGUACUUUUGGGAGAAGCCUUGGCCCUUAUUUUGAGCUUUGCUUCUUGGUUCCAGUGCAAAACCCUCAACCUUUGGGCACAGAUCCUUCAGACAGUAGUCACGGACUUUCUAGCUUUCAUCACUGGCCUUCCCCGCAGAGAUCCAUGAAACUGAUUUGUAUGAGUCAUUGUCAUGGGCUCUAGGUCUUUAGUGGCCUCAUGCAGGAGGACAUUGCUGUGGGAUCCAGGCCCUCAGAUUCUCUAGAUCUUUAGUGUGUGGACAGAUUUCCUGCACUGCUUGUAUUUGACUCUGGG